GCUAGCCAGUGGAAAAUAAACCAUGUUCAUAUUGCAGUGUGCCUCUGUUAGGAGAGUGCUUCUCUGUGGCUCGCUCCGUUUUUUGACGACUUAUAGAGAGCGUGUGUGCAGGCACAGGCCCUUUAUGUGCUCUCUGCUCUCUCUGUGCUUUCUCUCUUUUUUCACUUUCUGUUUAUCAUGACUAUUUUGUCAGGAGCUGGUUGAGAGAGACUUGGCAGGAGAGUGGCAGAGCUGGAUUUGUGCGAAAGAACAACAGCAGAAAAGAAGUGCAUAGAGAAGAGUUUGUUUUGAACUUUUCUGUCUUCCAGCAUGAGAAGAUGGAAGUCUUUUGAAGAACAAAGAGAUAAAGAGGGACUGAAAGAUGUACGACCUGCAAACAACAAGGUGGCUGAGUCAACUUUGUCUUAAUGAGGAGAUGGAGAUGGUCUAUCGUCAAUGGUUUUUAUGGUCCCUGCUGUAUUUUCACUGAAAGAGCCGGCCUACUCUGUCCACCAAGCCUGACUCCAUUUUGAUGCCAGGCGAGGAGACGAGGACUGACCAGCCCUUUGGUUCCCACACCAUGUUGGCUCCAGCCCACACCAUUGGCUACCCACUACCACACCAGUACGUUGGCAUUUCUCUUUUCGUAUUUCUGUAUUUUUCUAUUCAUUUCUCAAUUAAUUUCUCUCUUGGUCUUGGUUUGUCGUGAUAAGUGCGAAACUUGACCUAUGAUUCUGUACCUCUCAUUCUCUCAUGUUCAACUGACCUUACCCUAUAGUACCUAUAUUGUUUUUAAGGGUGAUUGUGAAUUCCUAUAUUUCUCUGAGAUAAGUACGGUAACAUAAAUAAAGCUAAUUAAAUCUC